rnacentral:rRNA from 1 species
ACGAACGCUGGCGGCGUGCUUAACCCAUGCAAGUCGAACGGAAAGGCCCUGCUUUUGUGGGGUGCUCGAGUGGCGAACGGGUGAGUAACACGUGAGUAACCUGCCCUUGACUUUGGGAUAACUUCAGGAAACUGGGGCUAAUACCGGAUAGGAGCUCCUGCUGCAUGGUGGGGGUUGGAAAGUUUCGGCGGUUGGGGAUGGACUCGCGGCUUAUCAGCUUAUUGGUGGGGUAAUGGCUUACCAAGGCUUUGACGGGUAGCCGGCCUGAGAGGGUGACCGGCCACAUUGGGACUGAGAUACGGCCCAGACUCCUACGGGAGGCAGCAGUGGGGAAUAUUGCACAAUGGGCGGAAGCCUGAUGCAGCAACGCCGCGUGCGGGAUGACGGCCUUCGGGUUGUAAACCGCUUUCGCCUGUGACGAAGCGUGAGUGACGGUAAUAGGUAAAGAAGCACCGGCUAACUACGUG